GGGGAUGUCGUAUAACCCGGCAUUACGGCCGGCUCCAGACCGGCUAAUCAGGGUUCGAAUCCCUGCAUCCCCA
rnacentral:tRNA from 1 species